CAACUUAUCACACUGCAUUCUGAGGUGGACCCUGGGAUCACAUGUACCAUCGAACAUUUCCAACUUGGGAGGUUUGUACCCCUCUGGAAGCUCAACAUCUGGCUGAACACAAAGAUCUUCAUAAUUCAAGCACCCAACGCCUUUGCUACCUUCGACUCCUUGGACCCGACUAGUUAACUUCUUUUGAGUUCAACGGCCAAAUUCUGAAUGAGGGAGUCCUUGUCAUCUGAUUUGGGUGCACCCGAGAUUGGAUGGGUAUAGUGGGGUAUAGUGUCCACAAAGAUAGGAGUAUUAAGGUGUUUGUUGUGUUUUGUGGUUCAG
rnacentral:lncRNA from 1 species